CCCAAACACAGCAUUCCCAGCACCAUGAGAGAUGCCGCAGCAUUGGCAUGGUUCCUUCCUGAAGAAUUUGCAAAAUAUCCUUUUUCUUUUUUUUUUUUUUUCUGCAGCAAAAUCAAAGCCAGGCUCAGGCUCAAAUGAUUAAAGGUUAACUAAGACUUCAAACAAUCUCACGCAAUGGGUCCCUCUCCCAGGAAUGACGGGACAUAAACUGGGCUUGGCUUUAAUAUCUGCCUUUAAUUAGGGCCGUGUCAGAGGGCCACGAGCAGGAAAAGAGCCUCUGGCACAGAUGGGAGAUGUGUUCUGGAAAUUCUUCCAAAAGAAAAAUAUUGCUGCACCUGUUCGGGGCAAAAUCCUGCCCCGGGGAAAGCAUCCCGAGUUCGGGGUGAAGGGGAAUUGGAGCUGCUUUAAACCAAGGUUCCCUGAAAUGCACCGUGGUUCUGUUCUCUGGAAAACAAGCUCAGGGUGUUCCAGGGGCCCUGAGGUCGGAUUCUGCUGGAGGAAUUGGCCUCUGGAAACCAAGAGCAGCCACGGGAGGAACACAAACCCCGCACUGGGAACCAGCAGCUGCUCCAGGCACCACCUCCUCUCACCGCUCCUCUCCCUCGCUGCAGCCCAGUCCCAGCAGCAUUUUAAUUAAAAGAGGUGGCUCCGUGCACCUUUUUCCUAUUGAUCUGCAGUCAACAAGAGCCCAUAAACCAAGAAAUUAAAGCCAUAAUUUACAGCCCUUGGCCGGGCCGCCUGCGAGCUCUGGUUGCCACAUUGCACACGACGGUUUCCUGCCUCUGCCAGGACAUAAACUCGAUACAACAGCUCCAAAAAGGAAAAAAAAAAACCACCCCUAACCCCCCCAGCCUUCCAAGGCUUCCUGCAGGAGCCAGCUCCGAGGAUGGUUUUCAGCUCCCUGUGUCUGAUGUGCGGCCAAGCCGUGGUUCCAAUCAGAGCAGAGCUGGAGAUGAAAGGGCAGCCCUGGUUCUCCUGGCCCGAGCCAGGUGUGCAGCUGGCACCCCGAGCCUCCCGGGGCACUGCUCCAGUGCAGACAUGUUAAAGCAAUAAAAGCAAAAUGAGGAACA
rnacentral:lncRNA from 1 species